rnacentral:rRNA from 1 species
UCAAUAAGCGGAGGAAAGAACAACAGGGAUUGCCCUAGUAACGGCGAGUGAAGCGGCAACAGCUCAAAUUUGAAAUCUGACCCCUUCGGGGUCCGAGUUGUAAUUUGUAGAGGGUGCUUCGGGCGAGGCGCCGGCCCAAGUUCCUUGGAACAGGACGUCAUAGAGGGUGAGAAUCCCGUAUGCGGCCGGUGACCGAGUUCAGGUGAAGCCCCUUCGACGAGUCGAGUUGUUUGGGAAUGCAGCUCUAAAUGGGUGGUAAAUUUCAUCUAAAGCUAAAUACCGGCCAGAGACCGAUAGCGCACAAGUAGAGUGAUCGAAAGAUGAAAAGCACUUUGGAAAGAGAGUUAAAAAGUACGUGAAAUUGUUGAAAGGGAAGCGCUUGCAACCAGACCUGCUCUCGGGUGAUCAGCCGUCGUUCUCGGCGGUGCACUCGCCCGUCGCAGGCCAGCAUCGGUUCGGGCGGUCGGAUAAAGGCCUUGGGAAUGUAGCUCCCCUCGAGGAGUCUUAUAGCCCGGGGUGCAAUGCGGCCUGCCUGGAUCGAGGACCGCGCUUCGGCUAGGAUGCUGGCGUAAUGGUUGUAAGCGGCCCGUCUUGAAACACGGACCAAGGAGUCUAACAUCUAUGCGAGUGCUUGGGUGUCAAACCCAUGCGCGGAAUGAAAGUGAACGGAGGUGAGAACCCUUCGAGGGCGCAUCAUCGACCGAUCCAGAUGUUUUCGGAUGGAUUUGAGUAAGAGCAUAGCUGUUGGGACCCGAAAGAUGGUGAACUAUGCCUGAAUAGGGUGAAGCCAGAGGAAACUCUGGUGGAGGCUCGCAGCGGUUCUGACGUGCAAAUCGAUCGUCAAAUUUGGGUAUAGGGGCGAAAGACUAAUCGAACCAUCUAGUAGCUGGUUC